AUACGGAGGGUGCGAGCGUUAUCCGGAUUUAUUAGGUUUAAAGGGUGUGUAGGCGGGAGCCUAAGUCAGUGGUGAAAUCUCACAGCUUAACUGUGAAACUGCCAUUGAAACUGGGUUUCUUGAGUAUAGUUGAGGUAGGCGGAAUGUGUAAUGUAGCGGUGAAAUGCAUAGAUAUUACACAGAACACCGAUUGCGAAGGCGGCUUACUAAGCUAUUACUGACGCUGAUGCACGAAAGCGUGGGUAGCGAACAGGAUUAGAUACCCCAGUAGUCC
rnacentral:rRNA from 1 species